CACGUAGGGUGCAAGCGUUGUCCGGAAUUAUUGGGCGUAAAGGGCUCGUAGGCGGUCCGUCACGUCGGGAGUGAAAACCCGGGGCUCAACCCCGAGCCUGCUUUCGAUACGGGCGGACUAGAGGUAGGUAGGGGAGAACGGAAUUCCUGGUGUAGCGGUGGAAUGCGCAGAUAUCAGGAGGAACACCGGUGGCGAAGGCGGUUCUCUGGGCCUUACCUGACGCUCAGGAGCGAAAGCGUGGGGAGCGAACAGG
rnacentral:rRNA from 1 species